rnacentral:lncRNA from 10 species
GAGAUUACAGGCAUGAGCCACCGCACUCGGCCUGGAAUAGGCGUCUUUUUUAAGGCUGAGUAAAAUGUUAUUCUCGGGAUGGACCACACUCGGUUUAUCCACCAUCUGCUGAUGAACACUUAGGUGCUCCCACCUCUUGGCUGUUGGAACUGCUGCUGCAAUGAAUAUGGGCGGGCAUGAAGGUGUUUCAUAGAUGUGAUUAGUAUUUAAAUCAGUAGACUUUGGGUAAAGCACAUGACCCUCCAUAAUGUAGGGGGGGGCCGCAUCCAGUUAGUUGAGGACCUUAAGAGAAAAGACUGAGGUCCCCCAAGGAAGAAGGAAUUCUGCCUCCAGACGGCUGCAACAUCAGCUCUUCCCUGGAGGUUGCCUACAGUGCAAUCACACGGGCCAAUUCCUCAAAAUCUCUCUCGUCUGUGUAUAUGACAGACGUAUAUAUACAGACAUACACACAUAUACACAUCCCCCUGCUUCUACCACAGAGGGUCACCGCAGACAUCACCACUGCCACUGAGGGUCUCCAGUGAGAAGACACUGAGAGACCCCGCCCCACUCCAGGGCAGCAGCCUCAGCUGCAAACCCACCCCACCUGAGCCACAUGACACAAGGUGGUCAUUGUGUCCACAGGCAGGACUCUGAUGGUCCCUGCAGGUGGUCUAGGACCCCUUCUGUCUGGUUCUGCUUCCCCCUUCCUGUCACAGGGGCUGACCCCUAACAGGGAGCUCCUAUCCCAAACUCCAUCUCAGGGUCAGCUUCUGGGGAGCCCCAGCUGUGACAUGAUGGAUGUUGGCGGUGGACCCCCCGCUGCCAAGCUGCAACCAGGCACCAGUGCGGGACGAAGACACAAGCCCCUGCACAGUCACCUGUUACACUCACUGGUGGUGUGUUGGAAGGGCAGAGGGAUGGACCAGGUAACUGCCACCAAUCGAGGCUACAAAUGGUAGAAGGAGAGAAAGGGGCACUUGAAAGCCAGGGGUGAGCCCAAGUGUGAGCGUCGGGGGCCCUCUGUGGUUCAGGCAGCAUCUCUGCUCUCCACUCUGCAGUGGGAGGGCAGCGAUUCGGAGGACCAAGCCCAGGACUUAAAUCAGAGCCGGCAGGGCCCUGGUGGGGACAUCCAGGUGGGUGUCCCCUGGAGUUUGAUCCCCAGGUAGCUCUGAAGCUUCCGCGUCUGCAGGUUUGCUCACCACUCCAUAGGAAGAGCUGACACUCCCACCCCCAAUGCUGGAAGGACCCAAACCAGAGGCAACACUGGUUCCCCCGAGCCCCACCUGCCCUGGUAGCAUGAGGUUGGCUCUGAGGGUGGAGCUGCAGCCGGAACCUCGCUGCGGUCGAGUGGACCCGGUGCUGCUGCGGCAUCUACGGGGUCUGGACCCACAGGGCUCCCUUGGGCCUGGAGCACGGGCUCAGUAGGAAAAGGACUUCACGGCUCCCGGCUUCUCCUGCCGUUCCCUUCCUUGUGCAGCUUCUGCCUGAGGCCUCCUCAGCAGAGCCCAGGGCAAGCAACAGUGAUGGGGUGAACACCGGAGCCAUGGCCCCUUGCACACAGUGUCAUCUGCUCAGCCCUGGGCUGGCCCCUUCCCACCCUCAUCACCUCCAGCUGCCCCACGGUGGCUUCCUGGAAUUCCCCCAAAAAAACUGUCCCUUUGAGUCCUCGUCUCAGUAUCUGCUUACGGGAGCCCGGCCUGGACAAGGGUGAAAAAACAAAGUGAAGCCCGAACUCCAGACCCGCAGACCCCACAAGGACGAGGGGAUGUGAGCCACAGGGCCCUGCACUCCCAGCACCGCACAGGAGAUAGCUAGAGACAAUGCCCUGGGCCUAAAACGCAACGUGAAACCUCUAAGGUGGCCACUAAAAUGACUGAAACUGCUUGUAUAACCUCCACACCUGUGGAGGAAAAAAUAAUGACGAAAAUGUAAUAAAUCUAACAGAACACAGGAGGGGAGAAAGAAGCAUAAAUAGAAAGCAGAAAGUCACAUUAUAAAAGUACAUUCAGGGCCAGGCGUGGUGGCUCUCACAUAUAAUCCCAGCACUGUGGGAGGCUGACGUGGGAAGAUGGCUUGAGCCAGGAGUCUGAGACCAGCCUGGGCAACAUAGUGAAACCCUGUCCCUACAAAAAUACAAAAAAAAAAAUCAGCCGGGAGUGGUCAGUGGUCCCAGCUGCUCAAGAGCCUGAGGUGAGAGGAUCGCUUGAGCCAGGGAGGUUGAGGCUGCAGUGAACUGGGAUUGUGCCACUGGACUCCGACCUGGGUGACAGAGCCAGACCCUGUCUCAAAAACAAACAACAAUAAAACAAACAAAAACAAACAAACAAAACAGAGGAAA